ACCAACAAACCUUCGUUGGUUUUAUGGGCUUACCAACAACCUACGUUGGUUUUGCGGGCUUACCAACAACCUACAAUGAUGGUUUUACGGACUUACCAACAAACCUUACAACAAGAGUAAUAAGUAAAGAACGAAAGCUCCUAAAAGAGCAAAUAUAACAAAUAUGCACAAAAAGAAGAGAGUAGAAAAUAAUUAUCCCUUUGUAGAUUGCUCUUCUCUUCUUUUCCAAGGUUGCUUUACUCUUCAAUGAAUUGGUUGAGCUCUUGAAGGCACUUGAAUUCUGCUCAACACACUUCUUUUGGGUUUGAACUUGAAGCAAUAACCUUAACUUUCUUGGAUUUCCUCUUUCUCUUGAAUGCACACUUAGAUUCCCACCAAGAUCUCUUCCUUUGAUGAAUAGUGGCUCUUAAAUACUUCUCCAACCUCCAAAGAUCACUUUCCUACCGUUGGAAUGGAGAAAGUAGCCGUUUAUAGCCGUUGGGGACUUAAAAAGUACAUGUGCAGAACUAGCCGUUAUGCUUCUGCCCCGUGCUUGGGUCGACCC
rnacentral:lncRNA from 1 species